rnacentral:lncRNA from 1 species
AUAAUACACACGGUCGCUAAGGCGCUUAGAGAUCUGUGAGGCGCAUGGAGAUUAUUUUACUCUCCGGUCCCUUUUGAUCCAAGAUCCCACAGCAUUAAAAGCAGUAAGAGGGAAGGCAAUGGGCAUCCCUUGCGCCCAGGAACGUGGCCUGGAGGGCCUGGCUGCUCCGAGCAGUAGCAGUGCCCGGCGGGGAGGCUGCAGACGCGGCGUUGGAAGUUGGAUUUCUAGACAAGCUCCGGCAGCUGCCCGGAACCCGUGUCUUUUUCUGGGGCACCCAGGAACAGCAGGGCCAGACGGAGAGAGAGCAGCCUCCAGCCAGGCACAGGGUCCCGAGCUGCCACCGACACCGAGGGAGCCCGGCCCAGGGCUGCAGCGCUUUCCGCCUAGGUGGGCGGCAGCGGGAGCGAGGAGCCGGAGGAAGCCCGGCCUGCGUC